CUUCACGUCCUCGAUGACGGUCUGGUAGACGCCGGCGUAGGAGGAGUCCGGGAUCACCGCGAGGGUGUCGUCCUCGCCGCCAUCGGCACCCCAGAGCUUGCCGCCGUUGCGGACCAGCGCCGGGAUCGAGGCGUCGAUGAUCACGUCGGAGGGCACGUGCAGGU
rnacentral:rRNA from 1 species